rnacentral:rRNA from 1 species
UCGGACGGGUGAGUAACGCGUGAGAAUCUGCCCUCAGGAGGGGGAUAACGGCUGGAAACGGCCGCUAAUACCCCAUAUGCCGCGAGGUGAAAUGAGAAAUCGCCUGAGGAUGAGCUCGCGUCUGAUUAGCUAGUUGGUGGGGUAAGAGCCUACCAAGGCAUCGAUCAGUAGCUGGUCUGAGAGGAUGAUCAGCCACACUGGGACUGAGACACGGCCCAGACUCUUACGGGAGGCAGCACUGGGGAAUUUUCCGCAAUGGGCGCAAGCCUGACGGAGCAACGCCGCGUGAGGGAUGAAGGCCUCUGGGCUGUAAACCUCUUUUCUCAAGGAAGAAGAACUGACGGUACUUGAGGAAUAAGCCACGGCUAAUUCCGUGCCAGCAGCCGCGGUAAUACGGGAGUGGCAAGCGUUAUCCGGAAUUAUUGGGCGUAAAGCGUCCGCAGGCGGUCUUGAAAGUCUGUUGUUAAAGCGUGGAGCUCAACUCCAUUUCAGCAAUGGAAACUAGAAGUCUAGAGUGUGGUAGGGGCAGAGGGAAUUCCCGGUGUAGCGGUGAAAUGCGUAGAUAUCGGGAAGAACACCAGUGGCGAAGGCGCUCUCGCUGGCCAUACUGACGCUCAGA